rnacentral:rRNA from 1 species
GACGAACGCUGGCGGCGUGCUUAACACAUGCAAGUCGAACGGAAAGGCCCUGCUUUUGUGGGGUGCUCGAGUGGCGAACGGGUGAGUAACACGUGAGUAACCUGCCCUUGACUUUGGGAUAACUUCAGGAAACUGGGGCUAAUACCGGAUAGGAGCUCCUGCUGCAUGGUGGGGGUUGGAAAGUUUCGGCGGUUGGGGAUGGACUCGCGGCUUAUCAGCUUGUUGGUGGGGUAGUGGCUUACCAAGGCUUUGACGGGUAGCCGGCCUGGGAGGGUGACCGGCGACAUUGGGACUGAGAGACGGCCCAGACUCCAACGGGAGGCAGCAGUGGGGAAUAUUGCACAAUGGGCGGAAGCCUGAUGCAGCAACGCCGCGUGCGUGAUGACGGCCUUCGGGUUGUAAACCGCUUUCGCCUGUGACGAAGCGUGAGUGACGGUAAUGGGUAAAGAAGCACCGGCUAACUACGUG